AAUUCCACACACUCACACACCCAGGACAAUAGGUAGAAUAGCACUGCAAACAUGUCAAAUUAGGAGCAACAAAUAGAAUUUAUAUGAAGCCUCAAUCAAUUAGAGUUUAUUAUGCUAUGGCUCAAGGACUGCACAGUGCCCAUCAUCAAAUAUUGCACAAUGCCUGGUUUAAACAGAAAUGAAAAAAAGAAAACAGAAAACAACAAAAAAAAUAAUUAGAUUACAGCAAAAGGCCCAUAAUCCUAGACAAUCCCUCACAUGGAAAAAAAGGUUACAUUCUCGGACAGUCGUAUUAAAAAUAAAUAUAAUAUUAAACUGUCGCCAGACACAUUUUAGGAACAAUGUUUUCAUUCAAUUAUCAACUCAAUAUGCUGUACCUUUAACUAAUUUUAGUGCCCAGAGCUACAGUGUGCUUACAAUCACAAUGACCAAUACUAAAGGGGAAAAAAAAGAAAAAACACCUUGUUUGACAAACAGAUAUUCUGACAUUUAUCAAACUGUGUAGCCGUGACUUAACAAUAACACCCUCCACUUCAUGGUUUGCACCUUGUGUCUAACAGGCACAUUGAUCAGCUGACUGGGAACGAUGAUACAAAUAAAAACCAGAUUGAUUAUUUAAGUUUUUUGCUUUUAUCGCCCAAUUGGGGUGAUUGCUGGCGUAUGGUAUUACAAUAAUAUUUGCCUACCGCAAAACAAAAUGUUUGGCGUCCCCCGUGACUGCACCACGCUGCACUUCGCCGGCCACGGACAGGUAGGAGAGAGAGACAGAGUGUGUGUGAGUGAGAGAGAGAGAGAGAGAGAGAGAGAGAGAGAGAGAGAGAGCGUUACUUCCGUUGUCCCCUAAAUAAUCUUCCCCAGGGUGCUAAAAGGCAUCACCGUUACAACUGUCGCCCUAACUGUUGUUUAUUUUAAUUUUACUAAGACCAGGGAGAUGGUUAACCAAGUGGUGUAUCUCUUCAUCUUCCCUCUCUUGAUGCCUGAUCGCGUUGUCUACGCCCGCGACCGCCUUUUUGCCCUGCGGAGAAUGGCCUCCACACCCGCAGAGUGGCCUUCUGUUCCCGAGGAACUGAGAAGGAGGCAUCGCCGUGGAUGCAGAGAGGAAGAGGAGAUCCUCAUGGGCAAAAGGUAAAUGGAGGAUUCUAUCAGUCCAAACCCCAACGCUGCAGAAGGCUUUCAACUCCACCAAUUGAACCCACACGCAGUAGAGCUGUCAAGCUAAGCUGCUGAGCCAUGUGAAGGACCAGUGAGGGGGAAGGAAGACGAAGACGCCAUUACCGUCUGUUUAUGCCAAGAGAAUAGGAAAGAGGGGAAAAAACAGGGUCAUUGAGCAGAGCAUAAAGGAAAUUGUGCUGUGAUGCAAACACAGAAAGCCUAAGCUUGCAGGGCUAUCAUCUAAACCUAAUCAGGUGCAGUAAUUUCAGCAUACAGCGGCUUGGUCAUUUUAAAGGUCUUAUUAGAGGCCCCCAUUUUCAUCAUGUCUUGGGUACUACAUGUUAGGUGAAUGUGCCUGCAUGAGAGUAAAAAUUGCCCCGUACUUGAGGUAUAGAGUGACACUCCUUAACUCCUUGGAACAAAGCAUGUCAUGGUCUGUAAGUGUGAAGAAGGUUUAUUUCUUCUCAUUUGUCUAGACCGAGAGAUCUCUAGUCUAAUCAUGACCAUUUCUUUGAGAGGAGUGGACUUGCAAGUGUAACUGAUUGCAAGUAAUGGCAGCAGCAGCCUAUUGUGUUGAACUCACUUCGCCACAUCUGUAGUCUUUACAGGCCACUCGAUAGCACAGAAACCAAGUGAAAGAAACAGUCUUUGUGACUCAGAUAAAAUGGGACUCCUCUUGUUUGUUAAAACAUAACUACAACAACCAUGAAUGUGGUGAACAUAACAUUAUUUUCGAUAUACACAAGGUCAACACAAUGAAACAAACCUUCAAAACUCUAACUCUAUUGCAGACUUGGUCACUCUAUAUAUAACAUCACCUAACUAAUACAUAAAAUGAUAAACUGCUUGCACAGACAACCUAUGGAGGUGGGUUUUUUUUUGUUUCGGUUUUUUUUUUACAGGAGGAAAAUGUCAUUUCCUUGAUUGAUACGAUACAUGUUUGUGCAGUAUCUACAGUCUAAAACCAGGCAGUAGUUGUAAAUAUGCAUAAACUGCAAAACAUAACUGAAAAUACAAUUUCUUUGAGCAGAAUAAAGCCAUCAAGUUUUAGAAACGUACCUACAGCGUAUAGAAAGUUUAGUAACUGCGUAGUGGUAUGCAAGACAUGGUUUGUGUUAAGUGUUCCAUUUGAAGACACAUCCAUAUAGAUUUGUAUUAGCAAAAAAUAUUGUUCAGUCACCCCCUGCUUUCUAGUUAGGGCAUUCAAAUUUGUCAUAUUGCCUCCGGGUGUCUAGGAAAACAAGGCCUGUUAAGAGACUGUGUCCAGACGGCCUUCUGACUCUGCAGGAAAGCAGAUGGUUUUUAAUAAUGCCCUACUCUCAGCUUCAUGCCCCCCAGCUAGCCAGCCACACAAAUGCACACACAUACAUACAAUUUCUCUCUCUCUCCUUCUCUCCCUCUCACUUUCUCCCUCUCUCUCUCUCACACGCACACACCCCCCCCCCCCCCCCCCGAGCUAGUGUUGCCAGGUUUACAGCUUCCCUGCUAAAUUGGGCUUUUGUAAAAAUUCAGUCACAGAUAAAAGUCAUAAAGUUGAAGGUUGGAAUAUUUUGGACUAUACUUUUACAUGAUCUUGUGGUCACAAAAAAAGUGUAACUGGUAUAUAAAUACAGCAUAACGAGCAUGUUAAGAAGGAACACUGACUCUGGUGUUAAAUAUCUUGCAACCCAAGGACAGAGCCGACAGCACAUCCUGCACAUGAGGGCAAGCACAGGGCUGGCACUGCCCACAGUCACAACAUACCAUUAUAUACCAACAGUCCAUCCUCUAAGCAUAAACAAUAACAACUUGCAGUAUCUAGUUAGUGAGCUAAUCGAGACAACAUGCUGAUAUAAAUAAGCUAUUUUUUGAGUAUUUUGCUCACCUACGUUUUGACAUUUUGUGGUAAUUUAAAUCUCUCUCUCUCUCUCUCUCUCUCUCUGUCUCUCAGACAUUGUCAGGGAAGUAGGACGUACGACGCUGGUAUGUAUUACUUUAUUAGGUGAAUUAAAGCAAAAGCUUGCAAAGAGGGAGCUUCGUAAAAUACUCUGGGCUUUUCCAGAAGCCCAUUGCAUUGUGGCAACAUUAUGACCUUUAUGACAAGAUAGAAAAUGUCCAGCCUCCUACUCCUACUCCUACUCUUAAAGAGCAUCACGACUGUGGCUGUACAAAUUGUGUGCUAGAUUAUAACAGUUUGAACUGUUUAUUAUAUACACUGUACUUUUAUUGAUGUUUUGAAUUUAUCGGCAACGUCCUGGUUGAUAUUAGGAACAGGCUAAAGUACUGUGUAAUGCUACUAUUGGCUAUGUAGCAAUACCAAAAACUUACAACAGACUUACUCCUGGCACCAAGCUGGUUCAGUUAGUUAACAUCUUUUCAAAACACAAGUCGGAACAAAUAACAAGGAGAUACAUGUUGAAACUUGCACAAGCAUCUAUUUUUUUAACAGUUGGACUUUCAACUGUCACCUAUAUUCAACAAAUUUAUAGCUCAGAUUUCACAGCUAUUUGGGCCCACAUGCAGUUUACAGCUUCAUCAAGAAACCAUGGUGCUGACAUUGUUUUUCAUUGACAAGUGCAGUUGCAGUUGUAUUGUUUAUGAUCAUUGCUGAAUCUUGCCUGGGAAUACAGACCAAACUAACUGAUGUCAAACUGUCUUUGUGAAGUUCUGUCAUUAAAGUUCUCAGGACAUCA